UAGAGGAAGCUUGCUUCCUUGAGACCGGCGCACGGGUGCGUAACGCGUAUGCAAUCUACCUUGUACAGAGGAAUAGCCCAGAGAAAUUUGGAUUAAUGCCUCAUAGUAUGUUGAUUUGGCAUCAAGACAACAUUAAAGAUUUAUCGGUACAAGAUGAGCAUGCGUCCCAUUAGUUAGUUGGUAAGGUAACGGCUUACCAAGACGAUGAUGGGUAGGGGUCCUGAGAGGGAGAUCCCCCACACUGGUACUGAGACACGGACCAGACUCC
rnacentral:rRNA from 1 species